rnacentral:rRNA from 1 species
AGAGUUUGAUCCUGGCUCAGGGUGAACGCUGGCGGCGUGGAUAAGGCAUGCAAGUCGAAUGCAUUUAGUUGCAUGGCAGACGAGGUAGUAACAGGUAGGAACUCACCCCUUAGUCGGGCAUAACCCAUUGAAAGAUGGAAUAAUUCCCGAUGGUCCUUCAGAGGUAAAGAUUUAUCGCUAAGGGAGAGGCCUGCUUAAUAUCAGCUUGUUGGUAAGGUAAUGGCUUACCAAGGCUACGACGUUUAGGGGAGGUGAGAGCCUGACCCCCACCGAUGGAACUGAGACACGGUCCAUACUCCUACGGGAGGCCGCAGUCGAGAAUCUUCCGCAAUGGACGAAAGUCUGACGGAGCGACGCCGCGUGAUUGAUGAAGCUCUUCGGAGCGUAAAGAUCUUUUCUGAGGGAGGAAAUUUUUGACGUUACCUCAGGAAUAAGGGGCUCCCAAACUCGUGCCAGCAGGAGCGGUAAUACGAGUGCCCCGAGCGUUACCCGGAAUCACUGGGCGUAAAGGGUGUGUAGGCGGUUAUAUUAGUCUUUUGUUAAAGCCUUGGGCUCAACCCAAGAAUCGCAAAGGAAACGGUAUAACUAGAGGAUGUGAGAGGUGUGUGGAACUCAUGGUGUAGGGGUGGAAUCCGUUGAUAUCAUGGGGAACACCAAAAGCGAAGGCAGCACACUGGCACAUUCCUGACGCUGAGACACGAAAGCGUAGGUAGCGAAUGGGAUUAGAUACCCCAGUAGUCUACGCCCUAAACGAUGUUCUCUGGCUUUUUGGAGUAUCGACCCUCUGAGAGGCGAAGCUAACGCGUUAAGAGAACCGCCUGGGUAGUACGAGCGCAAGCUUAAAACUCAAAGGAAUAGACGGGGACUUGCACAAGCGGUGGAUCAUGUGGCUUAAUUCGAUAUACGCGAAGAACCUUACCAGACUAGAAACUAUAGUGUAAGCUUUAAGAAAUUAAAGCCCUCUUCGGACUCUAUAGCAGGUGAUGCAUGGUCGUCGUCAGUUCGUGCUUUGAAGUGUUCCCUUAAGUGGGGUAACGAACGCAACCCUUAUUGUCUGUUUUAAAUGUCAGGCGAGACUGCUCCAUUUUGGAGAGGAAGGCGGGGAUAACGCCAGAUCAGCAUGUCCCUUGAUGUCUUGGGCUGCACACAUGAUACAAUGGUCACUACAACGGGAUGCAAUCAGGUAACUGUGAGCAAAUCCACUAAAGGUGGCCCCAGUUCGGAUUGAGGUCUGCAAUUCGACCUCAUGAAGUUGGAAUCGCUAGUAAUCGCGGAUCAGAACGCCGCGGUGAAUACGUUCUCAAGUCUUGUACUCACCGCCCGUCAAGUCAAGGGAGCUGGGAGUGCCCGACGUCCCAUUUUAUAUGGGCCUACGGUAAAUUCAGUGACAAAGACUAAGUCGUAACAAGGUAACC